GUGGGGAAUAUUCCGCAAUGGACGAAAGUCUGACGGAGCAACGCCGCGUGAGUGAUGAAGGUUUUCGGACUGUAAAGCUCUGUUGUUUAGGACGAAAGUGCCUGUUGCAAAUAGUUACAGGUAUUGACGGUACUGAACGAGGAAGCCACGGCUAACUACGUGCCAGCAGCCGCGGUAAUACGUAGGUGGCAAGCGUUGUCCGGAAUUAUUGGGCGUAAAGAGCAUGUAGGCGGGAAUCUAAGUCUGUUGUGAAAAUGCGGGGCUCAACCCCGUAUUGCGAUGGAAACUGAAUUUCUUGAGUGCAGGAGAGGAAAGGGGAAUUCCCAGUGUAGCGGUGAAAUGCGUAGAUAUUGGGAGGAACACCAGUGGCGAAGGCGCCUUUCUGGACUGUGUCUGACGCUGAGAUGCGAAAGCCAGGGUAGCGAACGGGAUUAGAUACCCUGGUAGUCC
rnacentral:rRNA from 1 species